AUAACAUGGCGGACAGGGUUGCAAAUUUGCCAAUAGUUGACAAAUUCCGAGUAAWAGAAUGUGUUUCUUAAAGUUUAAAUGCUUAUAAAAGCAUCAUGGAAUUUGUCAACACAGAAGACCCAUUAAGGAUUAUUUAACAAAAGCAGAAGCUGUCCAAAAAUUAAAGGAAAGAGAAAUACAACUAUCUCAAUACGAGUACCAUUGCCAAGCAAGUUGUCCUUUUAUGAUUACGUAUUUAUUUUUGAUACAUAUGCAUUUUUCUUCCAAAGCAAACGGUCUUUCUUAAUUGUUGUACUUGCAGAGGUUUAAUAAAGUCUCUCCCAAUAUUUGUCCAUGAGCUGAGCCCACAGCACAGAUGACUGGAGUGCUUCCACACAUGCUGACCCAUAUAUCCAUCCCUACAUGCAUUGCGUCACAAAGUUUCCCGCGGGUCAUAACAAAGACUAUAGUUUGCACAAGAAAGUGAUGUCACAUUGCCAUUCAUGUUGAUUUAUGAAUUCAACUAACA